UAGAUUGGCCACGGCGAUGCUUACGGCAUGGCGGCGGUACAUGAGCUCUCUUCCGGAAUGGGUGGGAUUCGGACGGCCGGAGACCUGGUCAGCCGUAUG
rnacentral:ncRNA from 1 species